rnacentral:rRNA from 1 species
UACGUAGGGUGCAAGCGUUAUCCGGAAUUAUUGGGCGUAAAGAGCUCGUAGGCGGUUUGUCGCGUCUGCUGUGAAAACCCGAGGCUCAACCUCGGGCCUGCAGUGGGUACGGGCAGACUAGAGUGGCGGUAGGGGAGAUUGGAAUUCCUGGUGUAGCGGUGGAAUGCGCAGAUAUCAGGAGGAACACCGAUGGCGAAGGCAGAUCUCUGGGCCGUAACUGACGCUGAGGAGCGAAAGCGUGGGGAGCGAACAGG